rnacentral:misc_RNA from 1 species
GUUGGGAUGCGGAAGAGUUUGGGAUGAUUGGAUCAACUGAAUGGGUUGAGCAGAAUCUUAUCAACCUUGGAUCUAAAUCUGUGGCCUAUCUAAAUGUGGAUUGUGCAGUUCAAGGCCCUGGGUUUUUUCCCAGUACGACUCCUCAGUUUGACAAUCUGCUUACUGAAAUCACCAAGAAGAUUAAUGAUCCAGACUCAGAGGGCAUGACUCUUUAUGAAAGAUGGACAGCUGCUGAUAGAGGUAUCAAGAUUCAACGGCUUAGUGGAGUAGAUUCAGACUUUGCCCCAUUUUUGCACCAUGCAGGUGUUCCUUCUGUUGAUUUGUACUAUGGCAGAGAUUUUCCAGUAUAUCAUACAGCAUUUGAUUCCUACAACUGGAUGGUAAACUUUGGGGAUCCAUUCUUUCAGCGGCAUGUGGCAGUGACAGGAGUGUGGGGACUUCUUGCACUUCGCCUGGCUGAUGAUCCGAUUUUACCUUUUAACUAUCGUCCAUAUGCUGCCGAGCUGCAGGACUAUACUCGUAUCCUGAGUAAGUUGUUGGAAGGAAGAAACAUCUCAUUGCAUCCUAUUACUGCUGCCACUCAAGAACUUGCAGCUACAGCUAAAGAAACUUUAGAUGAAGCAAAGAAACUGAAAGUGGAUAAAGUCACGGACGAGCGCACAGCACUGAAACGACGAAUAUUAAACGACCGGCUCAUGUUUGCUGAGAGGGGCUUUUUGGAUGCAGAAGGACUUCAGGGAAGACCAUGGUUCAAGCAUAUGGUUUAUGGGCCUCGUAAUGACGGCGAAAGUGAGUUAUAUUUCUUUCCUGGAAUAGCAAAUGCGAUAUCUAAAUCGUCAGGCGGUGAAGAGCAGAAUGCAGCAAUUCAGCAUGAGAUUUGGAGAAGUGCAAGGGCCAUAGAAAGAGCUGCUCAUGCUCUUAAAGGUGAACUUAUUGCCUGAAAGAGAACGCUUAAGCACAUUCAAAAGCAUAAACUCUAUACUUGUACAUACUCUUUUCACCUUUUUUUAUAAUU